rnacentral:rRNA from 2 species
UUAAGUUAUUAAGGGCGCACGGUGGAUGCCUUGGCACUAGAAGCCGAUGAAGGACGUUACUAACGACGAUAUGCUUUGGGGAGCUGUAAGUAAGCUUUGAUCCAGAGAUUUCCGAAUGGGGAAACCCAGCAUGAGUUAUGUCAUGUUAUCGAUAUGUGAAUACAUAGCAUAUCAGAAGGCACACCCGGAGAACUGAAACAUCUUAGUACCCGGAGGAAGAGAAAGAAAAUUCGAUUCCCUUAGUAGCGGCGAGCGAAAUGGGAAGAGCCCAAACCAACAAGCUUGCUUGUUGGGGUUGUAGGACACUCUAUACGGAGUUACAAAGGACGACAUUAGACGAAUCAUCUGGAAAGAUGAAUCAAAGAAGGUAAUAAUCCUGUAGUCGAAAAUGUUGUCUCUCUUGAGUGGAUCCUGAGUACGACGGAGCACGUGAAAUUCCGUCGGAAUCUGGGAGGACCAUCUCCUAAGGCUAAAUACUCUCUAGUGACCGAUAGUGAACCAGUACCGUGAGGAAAAGGUGAAAAGCACCCCGGAAGGGGAGUGAAAUAGAACCUGAAACCGUGUGCUUACAAGUAGUCAGAGCCCGUUAAUGGGUGAUGGCGUGCCUUUUGUAGAAUGAACCGGCGAGUUACGAUUUGAUGCAAGGUUAAGCAGUAAAUGUGGAGCCGUAGCGAAAGCGAGUCUGAAUAGGGCGUUUAGUAUUUGGUCGUAGACCCGAAACCAGGUGAUCUACCCUUGGUCAGGUUGAAGUUCAGGUAACACUGAAUGGAGGACCGAACCGACUUACGUUGAAAAGUGAGCGGAUGAACUGAGGGUAGCGGAGAAAUUCCAAUCGAACCUGGAGAUAGCUGGUUCUCUCCGAAAUAGCUUUAGGGCUAGCCUCAAGUGAUGAUUAUUGGAGGUAGAGCACUGUUUGGACGAGGGGCCCCUCUCGGGUUACCGAAUUCAGACAAACUCCGAAUGCCAAUUAAUUUAACUUGGGAGUCAGAACAUGGGUGAUAAGGUCCGUGUUCGAAAGGGAAACAGCCCAGACCACCAGCUAAGGUCCCAAAAUAUAUGUUAAGUGGAAAAGGAUGUGGCGUUGCCCAGACAACUAGGAUGUUGGCUUAGAAGCAGCCAUCAUUUAAAGAGUGCGUAAUAGCUCACUAGUCGAGUGACACUGCGCCGAAAAUGUACCGGGGCUAAACAUAUUACCGAAGCUGUGGAUUGUCCUUUGGACAAUGGUAGGAGAGCGUUCUAAGGGCGUUGAAGCAUGAUCGUAAGGACAUGUGGAGCGCUUAGAAGUGAGAAUGCCGGUGUGAGUAGCGAAAGACGGGUGAGAAUCCCGUCCACCGAUUGACUAAGGUUUCCAGAGGAAGGCUCGUCCGCUCUGGGUUAGUCGGGUCCUAAGCUGAGGCCGACAGGCGUAGGCGAUGGAUAACAGGUUGAUAUUCCUGUACCACCUAUAAUCGUUUUAAUCGAUGGGGGGACGCAGUAGGAUAGGCGAAGCGUGCGAUUGGAUUGCACGUCUAAGCAGUAAGGCUGAGUAUUAGGCAAAUCCGGUACUCGUUAAGGCUGAGCUGUGAUGGGGAGAAGACAUUGUGUCUUCGAGUCGUUGAUUUCACACUGCCGAGAAAAGCCUCUAGAUAGAAAAUAGGUGCCCGUACCGCAAACCGACACAGGUAGUCAAGAUGAGAAUUCUAAGGUGAGCGAGCGAACUCUCGUUAAGGAACUCGGCAAAAUGACCCCGUAACUUCGGGAGAAGGGGUGCUCUUUAGGGUUAACGCCCAGAAGAGCCGCAGUGAAUAGGCCCAAGCGACUGUUUAUCAAAAACACAGGUCUCUGCUAAACCGUAAGGUGAUGUAUAGGGGCUGACGCCUGCCCGGUGCUGGAAGGUUAAGAGGAGUGGUUAGCUUCUGCGAAGCUACGAAUCGAAGCCCCAGUAAACGGCGGCCGUAACUAUAACGGUCCUAAGGUAGCGAAAUUCCUUGUCGGGUAAGUUCCGACCCGCACGAAAGGCGUAACGAUUUGGGCACUGUCUCAACGAGAGACUCGGUGAAAUCAUAGUACCUGUGAAGAUGCAGGUUACCCGCGACAGGACGGAAAGACCCCGUGGAGCUUUACUGUAGCCUGAUAUUGAAAUUCGGCACAGCUUGUACAGGAUAGGUAGGAGCCUUUGAAACGUGAGCGCUAGCUUACGUGGAGGCGCUGGUGGGAUACUACCCUAGCUGUGUUGGCUUUCUAACCCGCACCACUUAUCGUGGUGGGAGACAGUGUCAGGCGGGCAGUUUGACUGGGGCGGUCGCCUCCUAAAAGGUAACGGAGGCGCUCAAAGGUUCCCUCAGAAUGGUUGGAAAUCAUUCAUAGAGUGUAAAGGCAUAAGGGAGCUUGACUGCGAGACCUACAAGUCGAGCAGGGUCGAAAGACGGACUUAGUGAUCCGGUGGUUCCGCAUGGAAGGGCCAUCGCUCAACGGAUAAAAGCUACCCCGGGGAUAACAGGCUUAUCUCCCCCAAGAGUUCACAUCGACGGGGAGGUUUGGCACCUCGAUGUCGGCUCAUCGCAUCCUGGGGCUGUAGUCGGUCCCAAGGGUUGGGCUGUUCGCCCAUUAAAGCGGUACGCGAGCUGGGUUCAGAACGUCGUGAGACAGUUCGGUCCCUAUCCGUCGUGGGCGUAGGAAAUUUGAGAGGAGCUGUCCUUAGUACGAGAGGACCGGGAUGGACAUACCUCUGGUGUACCAGUUGUCGUGCCAACGGCAUAGCUGGGUAGCUAUGUGUGGACGGGAUAAGUGCUGAAAGCAUCUAAGCAUGAAGCCCCCCUCAAGAUGAGAUUUCCCAACUUCGGUUAUAAGAUCCCUCAAAGAUGAUGAGGUUAAUAGGUUCGAGGUGGAAGCAUGGUGACAUGUGGAGCUGACGAAUACUAAUCGAUCGAAGACUUAAUCAA